GCCAGCAUGGUAUAGUGGUUUGAACGUUGGACCAUGACUUUGGAGACCAGGGUUUGAAUCCCAGCUUGGCC